rnacentral:rRNA from 1 species
UACGUAGGGGGCAAGCGUUAUCCGGAUUUACUGGGCGUAAAGGGUGCGUAGGUGGCAUGGUAAGUUGGAUGUGAAAGCCCAAGGCUCAACCUUGGGAUUGCAUCUAAAACUGCCAAGCUAGAGUGCAGGAGAGGAAAGUGGAAUUCCUAGUGUAGCGGUGAAAUGCGUAGAGAUUAGGAAGAACAUCAGUAGCGAAGGCGGCUUUCUGGACUGUAACUGACACUGAGGCACGAAAGCGUGGGUAGCAAACAGG